rnacentral:rRNA from 1 species
CCUGUCGAGAAAAGCUCCUUUUCGUUUCCCUAGGUGCCCGUACCGUAAACCGACACAGGUGGGUGGGUCGAGUAGACCAAGGCGCGCGAGAGAAACCUCUCUAAGGAACUCGGCAAAAUAGCCCCGUAACUUCGGGAGAAGGGGUACCCACUUCGGUGGGUCACAGUAAAUUGGGUUUAGCGACUGUUUAACAAAAACACAGCACUCUGCCAAGUUGUGAAAACAACGUAUAGGGUGUGACACGUGACCAAUGCGGAAAGAUCAAGGUGACUUGUUAGCCGCAAGGCGAAGCUCGGAGCCAAAGUCCCCGUGAAUGUCGGCCGUAACUAUAACGGUCCUAAGGUAGCGAAAUUCCUUGUCGGGUAAGUUCCGACCUGCACGAAUCGUGUAACGACUGAACCGCUGUCUCGGAGAGGAUCUCGGCGAAAUUGUAACGGCGGUGAAGAUGCCGCCUGCCCGCAGUAGGACGGAAAGACCCUAUGCACCUUUACUGUAAGCUGGUAUUGUGUUCUGAUUAAUGAUGCGUAGCGUAGGUGGGAGACUUUGAAGCCAUGGUUUCGGUUGUGGCUGAGUCGCAAUGUGAAACACCACUCUUUGUUAAUUAGGAUUCUAACCCUAUGCUGUUAGCCAGCUAGGGGACAGUGCCUGCGGGUCAGUUUGACUGGGGCGGUUUCCUCCCAAAGGGUAACGGAGGAGCGCUAAGGUACUCUCAGCAUGGUUUGCAACCAUGCGUCGAGCGUAUGGGUAGAAGAGUGCUUAACUGCGAGACCAACAAGUCGAGCAGAUACGAAAGUAGGCCCAAAUGAUCCGAUGGUUGAAUAUGGAAUUGCCAUCGCUCAACGGACAAAAGGUACGCUAGGGAUAACAGGCUGAUCGGAUCCAAGAGUUCAUAUCGACGAUCCGGUUUGGCACCUCGAUGUCGGCUCAUCGCAUCCUGGGGCUGGAGAAGGUCCCAAGGGUCCGGCUGUUCGCCGGUUAAAGCGGUACGCGAGCUGGGUUCAGAACGUCGUGAGACAGUUCGGUCCUUAUCCACUGUGGGCGCAGGAAACUUGAGGGGUUCAUUCUCUAGUACGAGAGGACCGAGAAUGACGCACUUCUGGUGUGGCAGUUGUUCCGUCAGGGGCAGCGCUGCGUAGCCAUGUGCGGAAGAGAUAAGCGCUGAAAGCAUCUAAGUGCCAAGCUCAUCCCAAGAUAUUGUUUCCCGGACGCAAGUCCCUAAAGACUCCAUGUAGACCACGUGGUUGAUAGGUCAGGCGUGUAAGUGCCGCAAGGUACUCAGCGGACUGAUACUAAUUAGUCGUGCGGCUUGAUCGC